AACACAAGAGAAACAAGGUGGAGGAAAAAAACACACUACAGCCAGCAUUUAACCAUUAAUAAAUGAAAAAAUAUACAAUACAUGUCAACACAAGACCCAAGAAUGUCCAAAGUAUAGAGAAAGGCCAGAGAUUUAGUCCGGAAGGCCUAAUCAUGAGGGGAAUGACAAAGUCUCAAUAAAUGGAUACGUAAAAGUAAACCGCACAGCAAGGUCAAAAAGGGAGCAAAGUGUUCAAGCAUCAGAUUGUGGUCUCACCCUCCUAUGGUACGCAAACUUUAGCAUGGAUCCUACGCAGUGUUUUAUAAAUGAGGCCCCAGCUGACGUUAAAGGUUCUCAGGUGAGCUCAUUCUUCUGUUAUCUCCUCAGUUUAUGGUUUCUUCAUAUCAGCAUUACAUAAAUCUAAUUAGACUGAUUAGAUUCUGAUUUAUUGUCUCAUGUCUGAAGUACGAGGCAACGACAUGCAGACUGCAUCUGAGCAGAAAAUAACACAUGAAUAAAUGUGGAAAAUGUUCAGCCAGAAAUAAUCUGAACCAAGUUUGAUACAGAAAAUGAUUUUAAUCUUUCCAGAAGUGAACUGAAAAUCAUUAAAAAUGACCAAAAACGUGCAGAAUGACACAAAAUUUGUCCAAGAUGCUUUAAAAAUUGUCCAGAAUGACUCAAAACGUGUAAUGAAUGACGAGAAAAUGAUGAAAAAUUAGAUGUAAUUUGUUCAAAAUGACAUAAAAAUGGUCUAAAAUGACUGGAAAAUGGUCCAGAACUGCAGAAAAUGUGUCCAGAAUUAUUCAUAAGUUGUCAGAACUGACAAGUCUUCCUAAAGUGACCCAAAAAUGGACCAAAAUGAUUUCAAAAUGGAACUGUAAAACUACAGGAAGUGGGUCAGACAAUACACACUUCCUUUGUGUCUGUUUAUGCUCAUUUUGUGUAUUUUUGUGGUGAAUGUAUAUAUAUUUUAAUUGUAAGGUCUCCUUCAGGUCAUUUUGUGUCUUUGUGGUUAUUUUUCUGUAUUUUAUGGUCAUUUUGUCUGUUAUAGUUAUUUUGUGUCUCAUUGUGUUCAUUUUGUGUAUUGUAUGGUCAUUGUGUGUCUUUGUGGUCAUUUUGUGUGCUUUUGUGUGCGUUGGCCUGUAAAAUGUUAGAAAUGUGCUGCAGAGACGCUGUGACUUUGAGUCUGACAGCAGCAGAAUGAUGUUUCUCAUUCUGUUAAUGGAAACCGAUGAGUCACUUUGAUCUGCAGCCAGAAGGACGACUCAGCAGAAAGUCUGCAGUUUAACGAGCAGAAAGUAAAAGCUGUAAGUGAAGGAUGGACAUCAGGAAGCAGCUGGUUGUGUAAAACGUCCACGUCUUCCUUUAUCUGCUGCUGAACUUCGUCCCGUCAGAUAUUUAAAACCAAAAAGAUAAACCAGAGACGGACUCAGGACCAGAUAAAACAUCAGCGUCUUAAAGCCUGUUUACUGAUUAAACAAACAGGAUGUGGAUGGACACUGUAAACAACAACAGCAAUAAGAAGAAGAAAUCCACAAAAAAACAGAGUGACAACAAAGAGCCAGAGAGAAAAAUACGUAAUCAACAAAAACAUGGAAUAUUACAUCAUUAAGAACGUCCAAAACAGUGGAAAUAACAGCAAAUAGAUUUCAAAUGUUAAUAUUUUUAUUUGAUUUAAACACAAAACUGUUUUUCAUUAGUAAACACAUAUUUUUUAAAAAUUCAACAAAAUAAUGUUUUACAUUUUCAGCUGAUUUAAAUACAAUAAAACUGUAAUUUUUGUAGUUAAUUUGAAGUAAAACUCAGAUUUAGAUGAACAUUAUUUACAGUUUGGGUAUGUGCUGGUGGUUUAUUAAUACUUUUUUAAAAAUUCAUUAGAUAUUGUGAAUUAUCUAAUAAAAACGUAAAAACUGCAGAAUAACAGUAAAUGGGUCAUAAAAUUAAAGUUAAAACUGAACAUCAAUUUUAUCACCAAUCUGCUUCAUUUGUCGUCAGUUUUUAUGGUCAUUUUGUGUCUUCCUGUUUACAUUGUGUAUCUCUGUUGUUGUUUUGUCUUUGUGGUCCUUUGGCGCCCCUUUGUGGAGGAUUUGUGUCGUCAUUUCAUGUCUUGUAGUUUUGCAUCUAUUUGUAGAUGUGUUGCAUCUCUUGUGGACAUUUUGUGGGUCUUCACGGUUGUUUUUAGUUUACGGGUGUUUUGCAUCUCUUUGUGGGUUUUACAUGUUUUUAUCGUCUUUUUUUUGUCCUUUUGUGUCUGUUGUUUCUUCUAUCUUUAUGGCCAUUGUGCAUCUUGUUCCAUCUUUGUCUGUUGUCACUUUGUGUCUGUUGUUGUUUCUUGUCUAUUUGUGCUCAUCUUGCUUCUCUUUUAGGUGGUAAGUGGUUUAGCUUUUCUUUUCUUUUUUUUUUUUUUUAUAGUUUUGCAUCUCUUGUUGGUCGUUUUUCCUGCGAUCAUUUCCGUUUCCUUCUGAGGAGCUUCCAUGGAUGGUUUCUCCAGAACGUCCUCCAGAUGUUCUGUGUCAGAUCUGGUGACGGUCACAGUAACAUCCAGAGCACCACGCUACCUCCACUGACCUGAAGCUCCGCCCACUGACAGGUGUGAGCAGGUGUCGUCCAUCGGUCUGAUUCUGCAGUUAUUUACAUGUUUUUAACGGUGAAAGAGAAACUUUUACUGUGAAACCAGCAGCAGCAGUUUGUUUCUUUGUGUGAAAAUAAUCAAAAGUCUUUAAAUUCAUGUCAGAUUUUAAUCAACAUCUGGAGAACAAACCUCAGAAUCUAGACAGCAUCAACUAAAGAACAGAGAAAAUAAACCAAAAGACGUGAAGAAUAAAGUGACUGCUUCCUGUUUGAUAAACGUCAGAAUAAAAGGCCAACAGCGCCUCCUGCUGGCUGUUGAACCUUAAAGUCCUGAAGGUGGAGACCAGCAUGAAGCUGCUGAAGCUGGACUCACAUUUAAACCCAAAAACAUCGUCUGGAAUCUUGAUUUAUGAACAAUUCUAAAUGUGUUAAAGCUGUUCUUCUCUAAAUGUUCGUUUUUUCCAACCAGAA